GUCAACAACCCCUGGCUCUUGCCUCGGGGCUUCAGGACUAGAAUUUCUCGUCUUUGAUGCCCUUAGUUGACCAGACUAAGUACUUUGAGUACUCCCUUCAUUAGGUCACGACACCCAAGAAUGCGUAGCUAGUUCUUGGCUCUGUC
rnacentral:sRNA from 19 species